GAUAAUUAACACUUUAUCAUGCCUGAGACUGUUUAAAAGUACUUUACAAACAGUGACUUAGAAUAACAGUGGGAUUUGGCAGGAGCUGCUGUCACCAAUACAGCUCAGACUGCUGAGGUUUUAUAGCUACAUUUAAACUGCAUGGAUUUUCCAGGAUGCAAGGCAGAACUGAUCAAAACCAAGCAUCCAAAAAAACUCAACUGAAAAGCCGGAGAGGGGAAGAAGUGAAGGUGGAGAGAUGGUCGAAGAAGCUCUGGUGAGGGGAACCAGGUGAUGCAGGAGAGCAGGGAAGGAGCUGUUUGGCAGGGGAAACACACUGGGAGCAGGGAAGGAGCUGAUUGGUCGGGAGAAUCUCUGGGACUAACGAGGCUGAUCCACAGCAGCUCAAAAUGUCAGGUACUGCAUUAAUGAGAAAAACAUGGAUGUCAGAGCCUGAACUCAUGGGCACUCUCUGCUGCCCGUCUCCAAGG
ensembl:lncRNA